AUUGAACGCUGGCGGCAGGCCUAACACAUGCAAGUCGAGCGGAUGAAGAGAGCUUGCUCUCUGAUUUAGCGGCGGACGGGUGAGUAAUGCCUAGGAAUCUGCCUGGUAGUGGGGGAUAACGUCCGGAAACGGGCGCUAAUACCGCAUACGUCCUACGGGAGAAAGCAGGGGACCUUCGGGCCUUGCGCUAUCAGAUGAGCCUAGGUCGGAUUAGCUAGUUGGUGAGGUAAUGGCUCACCAAGGCUACGAUCCGUAACUGGUCUGAGAGGAUGGUCAGUCACCAUGGAACUGAGACACGGUCCAGACUCCUACGGGAGGCAGCAGUGGGGAAUGUUGGACAAUGGGCGAAAGCCUGAUCCAGCCAGGCCGCGUGUGUGAAGAAGGUCUUCGGAUUGUAAAGCUCUUUAAGUUGGGAGGAAGGGCAGUAAGUUAAUACCUUGCUGUUUUGACGUUACCGACAGAAGAAGCACCGGCUAACUUCGUGCCAGCCGCCGCCGUAAUAC
rnacentral:rRNA from 1 species